AACGAACGCUGGCGGCAGGCCUAACACAUGCAAGUCGAGCGCCCCGCAAGGGGAGCGGCGGCCGGGUGAGUAACGCGUGGGAAUAUGCCCUUUGCUACGGAAUAGUCUCGGGAAACUGGGGGUAAUACCGUAUACGCCCUUUGGGGGAAAGAUUUAUCGGCGAAGGAUUAGCCCGCGUUGGAUUAGGUAGUUGGUGGGGUAAUGGCCUACCAAGCCGACGAUCCAUAGCUGGUUUGAGAGGAUGAUCAGCCACACUGGGACUGAGACACGGCCCAGACUCCUACGGGAGGCAGCAGUGGGGAAUCUUAGACAAUGGGGGCAACCCUGAUCGAGCCAUGCCGCGUGAGUGAUGAAGGCCUUAGGGUUGUAAAGCUCUUUCAGCUGGGAAGAUAAUGACGGUACCAGCAGAAGAAGCCCCGGCUAACUCCGUG
rnacentral:rRNA from 1 species